UACGUAGGGUGCGAGCGUUGUCCGGAAUUAUUGGGCGUAAAGAGCUCGUAGGCGGUCUGUCGCGUCGGUCGUGAAAACUUGGGGCUUAACCCUGAGCUUGCGGUCGAUACGGGCAUGACUGGAGUUCGGCAGGGGAGACUGGAAUUCCUGGUGUAGCGGUGAAAUGCGCAGAUAUUCGGAAGAACACCGGUGGCGAAGGCGACCUUCUGGGCCGUUUCUGACGCUGAGGUACGAAAGCGUGGGGAGCAAACAGG
rnacentral:rRNA from 1 species